AUACGUAGGUGGCAAGCGUUGUCCGGAAUUAUUGGGCGUAAAGCGCAUGUAGGCGGUUUGGUAAGUCGGUCGUGAAAAUGCGGUGCUUAACGCCGUAUGGCGAUUGAAACUGCUGAACUUGAGUGCAGGAGAGGAAAGGGGAACUCCCAGUGUAGCGGUGAAAUGCGUAGAUAUUGGGAAGAACACCGGGGGCGAAGGCGCCUUUCUGGACUGUGUCUGACGCUCAGAUGCGAAAGCCAGGGUAGCGAACGGGAUUAGAUACCCCGGUAGUCCUGGCCGUAAACGAUGGGUACUAGGUGUGGGAGGUAUCGACUCCUUCCGUGCCGGAGUUAACGCAAUAAGUACCCCGCCUGGGGAGUACGGCCGCAAGGCUUAAACUCAAAUGAAUUGACGGGG
rnacentral:rRNA from 1 species